rnacentral:tRNA from 1 species
UGUAAAGGUGGCUUGAAGUAUAAGUGGUGGAUUGUAACUCCAUUUAUGGGGCUAGUCCCUUCUUUACA